rnacentral:rRNA from 1 species
UGGGGAAUAUUGCACAAUGGGGGAAACCCUGAUGCAGCGACGCCGCGUGAGCGAUGAAGGCUUUCGAGUCGUAAAGCUCUGUCCUAUGGGAAGAUAAUGACGGUACCAUAGAAGAAAGCCCCGGCUAAUUACGUGCCAGCAGCCGCGGUAAUACGUAAGGGGCGAGCGUUGUCCGGAAUUAUUGGGCGUAAAGAGUGCGUAGGCGGCAAAUUAAGUCAGAUGUGAAAACUAAGGGCUCAACCCAUAGAUUGCAUCUGAAACUGAUAUGCUUGAGUCAAGGAGAGGAAAGUGGAAUUUCUAGUGUAGCGGUGGGAUGCGUAGAUAUUAGGAGGAAUACCGGUGGCGAAGGCGACUUUCUGGACUUGAACUGACGCUGAGGCACGAAAGCGUGGGGAGCAAACAGG